GUGGGGAAUAUUGGACAAUGGGCGCAAGCCUGAUCCAGCCAUGCCGCGUGAGUGAUGAAGGCCCUAGGGUUGUAAAGCUCUUUCACCGGAGAAGAUAAUGACGGUAUCCGGAGAAGAAGCCCCGGCUAACUUCGUGCCAGCAGCCGCGGUAAUACGAAGGGGUCUAGCGUUGUUCGGAAUUACUGGGCGUAAAGCGCACGUAGGCGGACAUUUAAGUCAGGGGUGAAAUCCCGGGGCUCCACCCCGGAACUGCCUUUGAUACUGGGUGUCUGGAGUAUGGAAGAGGUAAGUGGAAUUCCGAGUGUAGAGGUGAAAUUCGUAGAUAUUCGGAGGAACACCAGUGGCGAAGGCGGCUCACUGGACCGUUGUUGACGCUGAGGUGCGAAAGCGUGGGGAGCAAACAGGAUUAGAAACCCGAGUAGUCC
rnacentral:rRNA from 1 species